CAGCCCUGGACCCAUCAGGCGCCCCAACUCAGGUGAAGUAGGACAAGAAGUUUGCAAAUUCUAUUGGGGAUCCAAGUGCACAUAAGCUCCUGGAAGGCACAGGCUCCUCUCAGCCAUUUCCUGAAGACCGUAGUGCCUUGACUCGAAGGAGAGGUUCCUACCAGCAAAAUCCCGCGUUGGAGUGAAGGCUGCUGAGGGAUACUUGAGCAGACCUGCCAGGUCCCUGGAGGCCGAAAGUGGCUGCUCUCCCAAGGUGUUCCCUCUAGGCAAGUGGAAGAGACACGGCUCCAGCAAAGAAGUCCUGGGAGUCCUGCAGCUGUCUUGGAGCAGGCCGUCUUUGUCACAGGAAGAACCACUCAAGCGUCCCUUUGACACUGGGUUCUGAGGACAGGGG
rnacentral:lncRNA from 1 species